UACGAAGGGUGCAAGCGUUACUCGGAAUUACUGGGCGUAAAGGGUGCGUAGGUGGUUUUUUAAGUCCGUUGUGAAAUCCCUGGGCUCAACCUGGGAAUGGCAGUGGAUACUGGAAAGCUAGAGUGCGGUAGAGGGUAGUGGAAUUCCCGGUGUAGCAGUGAAAUGCGUAGAGAUCGGGAGGAACACCAGUGGCGAAGGCGGCUACCUGGACCAGCACUGACACUGAGGCACGAAAGCGUGGGGAGCAAACAGGAUUAGAUACCCUGGUAGUCCACGCCCUAAACGAUGCGAACUGGAGGUUGGGUGCAACUUGGCACUCAGUCUCGAAGCUAACGCGUUAAGUUCGCCGCCUGGGGAGUACGGUCGCAAGACUGAA
rnacentral:rRNA from 1 species